rnacentral:misc_RNA from 1 species
GAUGAAGAACGCAGCGAAACGCGAUAAGUAAUGUGAAUUGCAGAAUUCAGUGAAUCAUCGAAUCUUUGAACGCACAUUGCGCCCCUUGGUAUUCCGGGGGGCAUGCCUGUUCGAGCGUCAUUAUAACCCCUCAAGCUCAGCUUGGUGUUGGGGCCUGCCAACUGGCAGCCCUUAAAAUCAGUGGCGGCGCCAUCUGGCUCUAAGCGUAGUAAUUUCUCUCGCUAUAGGGUCCCGGUGGAUGCUGGCCAACAACCCCCAAUUUUCUAUGGUUGACCUCGGAUCAGGUAGGGAUACCCGCUGAACUUAAGCAUAUCAAUAAGCGGAGGA